UAGAAAAUGGUUCACAACAAAUCUUGUGCUGUUCUUUAUUCGCGUCUCUUACUAUUCUUAUUGCUACUCUUCUCUUCCAAAAUAACAUUUGCUAGGCUCUCUGCAUCUUCAAAAUCAAAAUCCGAAGAGAAGACCUGGCUGGACCUGCUAAUGAAGUUUAGUAGUUACAACGCGAGCAAACCGUUUUCACGGAAGCUGGAGUACGGACGGAAAGCUACAGUCACUACAAAAAAACAAGCUUUUCGCGACAUAUAUAUUGCGACACAUUAGCGCGGCCGUCGCAAUUAUUCAUUAAAAGGCAUAGAUAAUUGACAAAAAAAAAAAAUUACUCGGAGCCAAACUAUUCGCUACAAUGGUUUAAGUAAUGUCGCAAAAGCACAGCAAAAGUUAAAAGAUAACUGCUAUUCGCUACAUAUAGGAACACAUCUCGUACUUGAGAUCUUUUUAGAAUUAACCUAGGUUAUUGACCGUGUCUCUGCCAAGAGUCAACUGCUCUUAGUUUCCCCUCUUUCCCUCUCAGAAGGAUAGUGAUUGAAGCCUCAAAAAUUGAUACCCAUCAAGAAGUUCCUGUAACAGAUCAUCUUCUUCCUCCUCCAAAAAUAGGUCUUCACUUCUUGACACUCUAUCUCCUCUUAUCUCAGUCACAAAAACCUUAAGACCUCCGAAAUCCAAAGGUAAGCUCUUUCUCGCUCCUUUCUUCUCUAACUUGCUAUUUUGUGUUUUCGACUGAUUCUGGGUUCGUUUUAUUUGUAUUUGGUUUCGUUAAUGCUUGUUUAAUUCGGAGGAUUAAUGGAUAAGGGGUCUUGAGAAUUAAUCCAAGUGCGAUAGAUUCAGUUUAAUUGUGUCUAUAUUUAAUUGAUAUGAUCAAUUUUUUGUUCGCUUCACAUAGUGCAGGAGACAACCCAAAACAAAUUAAGGUCUUCUAGAUAUUUGGGUGGCCUAGUUCUUCAUGUGAUCGAUGGGUAAACUAUAUGUUUUCUUUCAUUGUGAUAUUUGCAUAUUAGUAAUCAAAGUCUUUUUUUAUAUUUGGAAUUAGUAAUCAAAAUCUAAUAAUUGAAUGUCAACAGGAAAAAGCCCCAAUUCUUAUUUGUCUUGUCUACCCUAAUUUGAUCUAAUAAGCAAAGGUAUAUCUUUCUUUAGAUGUCUUGAUCUUUUUUUGUUCAUGAUGAUUUAUAGUUAAAUUGAUUUAUACGAGUUUUAGCAAAAACUUAGAUUUUAGAAGAUGAGAAGUGUAAAAUUUGCCGACUUUGGAUACCUAUAUACAAACCAAGUGUCUAGCUACUUAUUCAGUGAUAAUUUUGUAUAGUUGGUAAUCCUUGCUGUUUGAAAAUUUCAUAAGUAUAUAUGUAUGUGUAUGCUUGAUUACUCAUUUGAGUUCAUCCAAAGAUUAACACAUGUCUCUGUAAGUAGCUCUGUAAGUCUGCAUCAUAAUCAAACUUAUUAAUAACUGGUUUGAUGCAAGAUUGUUUAAACCACUUAGUUGGGUCACUUUUGAUUUAUUUAGAGAUAUCUUGACCUUUUUUUUUUAUAUAUUUAUCUAUGUUUCCUCCUCUGAUUUGGAUAAACUGGGUUUUUCUUUUUCUUUUGCAGGGCUUUGAACUUCUAUUUGUGACAAGCACUCUCACUUGAGGGUUGGAAUCAAGAUUACAUACCGUACAUGCAUGUCCAUAUGAUUAUUUUGAAUAGUAAUAUUUGUAUAUGACAUUAGAAUAUUUUUUGUAUAAACAGUUAACAUCAUAUAUGAUGUUUAUUUGUUAUAAGUGAAAGGCAUUUAUAAUGUAAAUGCAAAUUGUGUUUACCUCUUUCUGCGACAGCCAUCUUGGCUGCUGUAAUUUUUUUUUAUUUACCUCACCAAGUAUUUGCGACGGAUAAAAAGCGUCGUAAUCUUGUCGCAAAAGGUUUUUACAACGUUUUUUUACGUGUCGCAUUUAAUGAUAAUUAUUUAUGACAUAAUUUCUUGCGACACUAAAAGAAACGUCGCAAAACCGUCGCAAAAGGUUAUUGCGACGCCACUUUAUGUGUCGUAAAAAGUGAAAAAGUAUUUGCUACGCGUUUUAUGCCGACGGUUCACCAAGCGUCGCAAAACCGUCGCAAAAGGUUAUUUACGACGCUUUUAGAUCUUUUUACGACAUUUUUCUUAUGUCGCAAAAAACCCCUUUUUUUG